rnacentral:rRNA from 1 species
CCUACGGGUGGCAGCAGUGGGGAAUAUUGGACAAUGGGCGCAAGCCUGACCCAGCGACGCCGCGUGAGUGAAGAAGUCUUUCGGUUUGUAAAGCUCUAUCAUCAGGGAAGAAGAAAGUGACGGUACCUGAGUAAUAAGCCACGGCUAACUACGUGCCAGCAGCCGCGGUAAUACGUAGGUGGCAAGCGUUGUCCGGAUUUAUUGGGUGUAAAGGGCGUGUAGGCGGGAUGACAAGUCAGAUGUGAAAUCCCGGGGCUCAACCCGGGACCUGCAUUUGAAACUGUUGGUCUUGAGUAUCGGAGAGGCAGGCGGAAUUCCGUGUGUAGCGGUGAAAUGCGUAGAUAUAAGGAGGAACACCAGUGGCGAAGGCGGACUGCUGGACAGUAACUGACGCUGAGGCGCGAAAGCGUGGGGAGCAAACAGGAUUAGAUACCCCUGUAGUC